rnacentral:rRNA from 1 species
CCUACGGGAGGCAGCAGUGAGGAAUAUUGGUCAAUGGGCGGAAGUCUGAACCAGCCAAGCAGCGUGCAGGAAGACGGCGCUAUGGGUUGUAAACUGCUUUUGUACAAGGGUAAAGUGGAACACGUGUGUCUUGUUGAAUGUACUUUAUGAAUAAGGAUCGGCUAACUCCGUGCCAGCAGCCGCGGUAAUACGGAGGAUCCAAGCGUUAUCCGGAUUUAUUGGGUUUAAAGGGUGCGUAGGUGGGUUGGUAAGUAAGUGGUGAAAUGUCCGGGCUUAACCGUGGAACUGCCUCUGAUACUGUCAAUCUAGAGGGCAGAUGCGGUAUGCGGAAUGUGUGGUGUAGCGGUGAAAUGCUUAGAUAUCACUCAGAACCCCGAUUGCGAAGGCAGCUUACCAAUCUAUCUCUGACGUUGAUGCACGAAAGCGUGGGCAGCAAACAGGAUUAGAUACCCCAGUAGUC